CAGAGGGUGCGAGCGUUGUUCGGAAUCACUGGGCGUAAAGCGCGCGCAGGCGGGCGUGUAAGUCAGAAGUGAAAUUCCGGGGCUCAACCCCGGAGCUGCUCCUGAUACUGCAGGUCUGGAGACCGGUAGAGGCUGGUGGAAUUCCCGGUGUAGCGGUGGAAUGCGUAGAGAUCGGGAAGAACACCCGUGGCGAAGGCGGCCAGCUGGGCCGGUUCUGACGCUGAGGCGCGAAAGCGUGGGGAGCAAACAGGAUUAGAUACCCUGGUAGUCCACGCUGUAAACGAUGGGCACUAGGUGCCGGGGGGAGCGACCCCUUCGGUGCCGCAGCUAACGCGUUAAGUGCCCCGCCUGGGGAGUACGGCCGCAAGGCUG
rnacentral:rRNA from 1 species